rnacentral:tRNA from 1 species
GACUCUACUAUUAAGGA